rnacentral:rRNA from 1 species
GACCUCUGCAAUAGGCGAAAGCUUGACAGGGUUACUCUGAGUGAUUUCCGUUAAGGGGAUCUUUUGGCACCUUGGUGCAGAAUAAGGGGUGGCAAGCUGGUGUCAGCCGCCGCGGUAGUACCAGCACCCCGAGUGGUCGGGACGUUUAUUGGGCCUAAAGCAUCCGUAGCCGGUUCUACAAGUCUUCCGUUAAAUCCACCUGCUCAACAGUUGGGCUGCGGAGGAUACUAUAGAGCUAGGAGGCGGGAGGGGCAAGCGGUACUUAGUGGGUAGGGGUAAAAUCCGUUGAUCCAUUGAAGACCACCAGUGGCGAAGGCGGCUUGCCAGAACGCCUCGACGGUGAGGGAUGAAAGCUGGGGGAGCAAACCGGAUUAGAUACCCGGGUAGUCCCAGCUGUAAACGAUGCAGACUCGGUGAUGAAC